rnacentral:lncRNA from 1 species
AAAUUGCUCGCGAGCAUUGUUGACUCAACCUUGCUGCUGAUGCGACAUAAAAAGUAUUGACACUGAGAGCUAAUUUCUUGGCCUUCUUGCGUUAUGUUUAUAUGUCAAGUAUUAUGCUGCUUGGGCUAUGAUUUCACCGAAACGUAUUAUGAAUUCUUGCUAUGGUAUACAAUUGUUAUUUUUGUCGGAAGCCGUAAACUUUCUUGUUCGUGUCUUGAAGCUCUGUUUUGUAAACUUUUGGGAACUUCCCAACUACAAGUUUACACAUUGUAGGACAUAUUUUCUGUUCACUCAGAUUUUUCUUUUAUUGGCUGUAUGUCAGUCCAUGAAAAUGACUUGUCCUUAUGUCCCCAAUAGAAUAACCCCAUAUAUAUUUGCAAUAAUCCAUGCUAUGCACCGAGCUAUAGUCCUUAAAAAAUAGUAACUUUUGAAAUAUAACCGAUUUGAAUCUCUCUUUCUCACAUCACAAUUUACAGGAAGAGGCCAAUGAAUGUGGAGUGGACCAAUAAUUGAAAGUGAUAUUUGCAAAUUAGAUUUCAAUGAAAG